rnacentral:rRNA from 1 species
UACAUGGGGUGCAAACGUUGCUCGGAAUUAUUGGGCGUAAAGCGCGCGUAGGCGGUUACUUAAGUCGGAUGGGAAAGCCCUCGGCUUAACUGAGGAAGUGCACCCGAAACUGAGUAGCUAGAGUACGAAAGAGGGUCGCGGAAUUCCCGGUGUAGAGGUGAAAUUCGUAGAUAUCGGGAGGAACACCGGUGGCGAAGGCGGCGACCUGGGUCGAGACUGACGCUGAGGCGCGAAAGCGUGGGGAGCAAACAGG